rnacentral:rRNA from 1 species
UACAGAGGGUGCAAGCGUUAAUCGGAAUUACUGGGCGUAAAGCGCACGUAGGCGGUCAUGUAAGUCGGGUGUGAAAUCCCCGGGCUCAACCUGGGAACUGCAUUCGAGACUGCAUGGCUAGAGUACGGUAGAGGAGGGCGGAAUUCCCGGUGUAGCGGUGAAAUGCGUAGAUAUCGGGAGGAACAUCAGUGGCGAAGGCGGCCCUCUGGACCAGUACUGACGCUCAGGUGCGAAAGCGUGGGGAGCAAACAGG